CUCUCUGAUCUGACUAACCUCUUUCAUUCUUUGCCCUAUGUUAUAUGGCUUAGACCAAAGCCUGAGACAUUUAACCAAUUUAUAAAUAUUAAAUGCAGAAGGCAUACUUUAUCAGUUCCUGGAAACAUCAAAGAAGCUGGAAGGGGAAUGGAAAUUGGAUGGCACUUUGUGGAGGUCACUUUGCUGACAGUCAAGUAUUCAAAGAUCUCCUAAGAUACCCGGUCUUUAAAGUAUUAUACAAAAUAUCAGGCCCAGUCCCAAGGCGCAACUUGUGCCAGCAGCCCGCGCCAGCAGCCUGCACCAGCAAAAUAGCAGUAGCAAGAAGAGAGCCAGCAGAAGACACCUACCCUGGCCGGAAGACGCGUACCCCUGAAGAUUGAGGAAGAGGCCAUCCGGGUACAACGUAGCAGUUACGUCAGACUAAGACACUUCCUGUUUAUAGGAGACUAUAAAACCUUUGCCCUGUCCUCACUAGGGGCUGACACCAUUUUAGUCCUCAGACCGCCUGCACCCAGGCGCUCAUUAAAACAGCAUGUUGCUUCCACCGCCUCAUGUUGUCUGUUGGCGCGCUCUCGGGGUUCGAACCAGUACAAGAACCUUAGAUAUAUGAUACUGCACCUAAUAAAAAUAGUCUAAAAUAACAACAGCCAAUAUAGGCACAAACCUGAAAGUGUCUGCAUAGAAGUAACACAUCCAUGUACUUGAUAAACUAAAGUGUAGAUAUUUUAUGCGGAAUAAACUUUGAAGUGAGGAAUACC